UUAGAGCGCUCUCUCUCAGUCCCUCUCACUCUCUUCUCCUUCGGUCAAAUUCCGGUUGCCGGACUACCGUGGGACCGCCGGUCACCGUCUACGGUGAUCAGAAAAUUGAAAAAGUCCAUCUUUUUUGGCUUUUCGACUUCCUUGACUCAAAAAUUCCAUCUUUCAUCAGAGAUGAUGACCUCAACUCCCUCCAUGACGACAAAAAAAUAAAAAAAAAGUAAGAUCUUCCCCCGUUUUUACUAUUUUUGUUUGUUCUCUUUUGAAAAAAUAAAAAUAAAUAAAUAAAACAAAAUGGAAAGAAAAAAAUAAAAAGAC
rnacentral:lncRNA from 1 species